GUAUGGAUGGCAAAAACACUCACAUUUUCCAUUGUUAUCUCAUAGAAAUGAGAUUUUUGACCGGUCCUUGGGGCAUUC
rnacentral:sRNA from 1 species